UACGUAGGUGGCAAGCGUUGUCCGGAAUUAUUGGGCGUAAAGCGCGCGCAGGCGGUCCUUUAAGUCUGAUGUGAAAGCCCACGGCUCAACCGUGGAGGGUCAUUGGAAACUGGGGGACUUGAGUACAGAAGAGGAAAGCGGAAUUCCAAGUGUAGCGGUGAAAUGCGUAGAGAUUUGGAGGAACACCAGUGGCGAAGGCGGCUUUCUGGUCUGUAACUGACGCUGAGGCGCGAAAGCGUGGGGAGCAAACAGG
rnacentral:rRNA from 2 species